UCAGGACGAACGCGGGCGGCGUGCUUAAUACAUGCAAGUCGAGCGGACGGAUGGGAGCUUGCUCCCUGAUGUCAGCGGCGGACGGGUGAGUAACACGUGGGCAACCUGCCUGUAAGACUGGGAUAACUCCGGGAAACCGGGGCUAAUACCGGAUAAUUCUUUCCCUCACAUGAGGGAAAGCUGAAAGAUGGCUUCCGCUAUCACUUACAGAUGGGCCCGCGGCGCAAUAACUAGUUGGUGAGGUAACGGCUCACCAAGGCAACGAUGCGUAACCCACCUGAGAGGGUGAUCGGCCACACUGGGACUGAAACACGGCCCAAACUCCUACGGGAGGCAGCAGUAGGGAAUCUUCCGCAAUGGACGAAAGUCUGACGGAACAACGCCCCGUGAGUGAUGAAGGUUUUCGGAUCGUAAAACUCUGUUGUUAGGGAAGAACAAGUGCCGGAAUAACUGCCGGUACCUUGACGGUACCUAACCAGAAAGCCACGGCUAACUACGUGC
rnacentral:rRNA from 2 species